GUCUAUGGCCAUACGACAUUGAAUGUACCUGAUCUCGUCUGGUCUCAGAAGCUAAGCAGUGUCAGGCCUGAUUUGUACUUGGAUGGGAGAAAGAUCUUCAGAGGAGACUCCUAGAGACAAACAGUUUGAAGACA
rnacentral:rRNA from 1 species